rnacentral:rRNA from 1 species
CCAAGGAGUCUAGCAUGUGCGCGAGUCACGGGGUCUAACGAAACCCAAAGGCGCAAUGAAAGUGAAGGCCGCCUCCGGCAGGCCCAGGCAGGAUCCUCGGCGCUCGUCGCCGGGGCGCACUGCCGGCCCGUCUCGCUGGCAUCGUCCACGAGGCGGAGCAAGAGCGCACACGCUGGGACCCGAAAGAUGGUGAACUAUGCCCGAGUAGGACGAAGUCAGAGGAAACUCUGAUGGAGGUCCGCAGCGAUUCUGACGUGCAAAUCGAUCGUCAAACUUGGGUAUAGGGGCGAAAGACUAAUCGAACCAUCUA